UGUGAUUUUAUCAUAGAUAUUUCUCGUCUCAGUUGUUUCUGGACAUCAUCUUAAGUAUGUCUGUUUCACAGAAAUAUUUUUUGCAAACCUAGUCACUUGGCGAUUUUUUUCUUUCUGUUUAAUGCAGUAAAGUUGCCCUGAAUGCCAAAGUUGCAAAGAAAAAUAAAAGCCUUGAAAGCAGAAGGCUCAUCAGCAGACGAGCUCUUCCAGUGGCAAUCAUGGUCAAGUACUGGAUGAGAGCACUUCCAGUGAAACAUCUCAGGAUGAAGGAAGACCUGCAGCAACAACCAGGAGUGAAAAGAACGAGGUCAGCAGACAAAUGGAAGUAACUGAUGACCCUGGUUUAACUCACUCAUCUGACCCAACUUCAGAGGAUGUCCGGUUACAAGCUUCAACCUGCAAGGAGGCUGUGCUGCUGUUGGAAGAGCUUGGUGUGGUUCAUAUGGGUAUGU